rnacentral:rRNA from 1 species
UACGAAGGGGGCUAGCGUUGCUCGGAAUCACUGGGCGUAAAGCGCACGUAGGCGGAUUGUUAAGUCAGGGGGGAAAUCCUGGAGCUCAACUCCAGAACUGCCUUUGAUACUGGCGAUCUUGAGUCCGGGAGAGGUGAGUGGAACUGCGAGUGUAGAGGUGAAAUUCGUAGAUAUUCGCAAGAACACCAGUGGCGAAGGCGGCUCACUGGCCCGGUACUGACGCUGAGGUGCGAAAGCGUGGGGAGCAAACAGG